GCUCGGGUGUGGAGCAUGCGGCGGACGUCGGCGCGGACACUGUCCUCGACAUCGUGGAAAGCGCCAUGGUGCCAGUGCGGGUGCCCUGGGUCCCGGCGGAACGCCUCCCGCCGGGGGGCCGAGGACACGACCGCAGCGGCCGUGAGGACGAGGAAGAGAAGGAAGAAGGGAGGCCCCAUCGAAGGCUGCCCGGAGAAACCCUAGGCAAGGAAUUCUGGAAGCUUCGCCGACGCAGUAUACUGGAGGCAGCAGUGCAAGGGCGCGGAAGGUGGAGGGGAGCAGGGCAGCGGGCGCGCGGCGGCACCACGGUCCACGGCGAGCGGGUUGUCUCGCCCUGACGCCCUCCUCAGCGUGCCCGUUGCUUUGAGAUUGGUG
rnacentral:misc_RNA from 1 species